rnacentral:rRNA from 1 species
UCCUACGGGAGGCAGCAGUGGGGAAUAUUGGACAAUGGGCGCAAGCCUGAUCCAGCCAUGCCGCGUGAGUGAUGAAGGCCUUAGGGUUGUAAAGCUCUUUUGUCCGGGACGAUAAUGACGGUACCGGAAGAAUAAGCCCCGGCUAACUUCGUGCCAGCAGCCGCGGUAAUUGA